rnacentral:rRNA from 1 species
AUGGGCAUCUUGCCGAUGAUGUUCUCUCUGCUGGUACUCGGGUCACUAGGAAAGCUAACAGCUCUGGCAUCCGGAGUUGUGACAAACCAGCAGAGCCCCGAAGGGACCUGGGCACGACCAUCCCGUGCCGGUUUCACGCUCGAUGACUGCCCGACGAGCUGCGGCAGUGUGAGCUUCAGCUAUCCCUUCGGCAUCGGAUCCAGGUGCUCCCGUGGGCCUGACUUCAACCUCAGUUGCAACGAUGCCACUCACCCCCCCAUACUUUUCUUGUGUGACGGCAUCACCGAAGUGGUCAACUUUGGCGGUGAUUCUCAUUAUGAUUUAAACUCGAUCUGGGCCUCCUUCUCGCAUACCAUCCCCUUGAAAUCUGGUGUUAGUGCUUACAACUUGUCUUUCAAACCACCUGGGAGGUCCUUCCAUCUUUAUCCCUUUGUUCUAAACAUCAUUGGCUGCGACCUGGCAGUGUACUCUGUCAAAGAGAAUGCCAUCCAGCCGAUCUGCGCAACUGUGUGCCCAGAUCCAGAAAUUUCAGAGACGGUGGCUAUGCACAACUGUAAUGGCUUUGGCUGUUGUCGUGUAGACGUGCACAACUAUUGUGACAUUUAUCAGUUCAAAUUUGUCUAUGACCAUGACACAAUAAACACCAGAGCACACUCUAACCAGACCUCUAAGUUGUGGGAUAAAAUCAGCAUAACCGCUGAUGGUGGUUUAAUGCUCUCAUGGGAUAUAGGGAAUCAACCCACCGACUGUGUUGCCUGUGUCAGCGACCAUUCUGAGUGCCGCGGUUACAACUACGAUACAACUGGCAUGACAUCAAGAAAUGGCUACAGCUGGAACUGCAUGUGCAACGAGGGCUAUACAGGCAACCCCUACAUUCCACAUGGCUGCUCCAGUAACAGCAAAGGGUAUAAUCCAAUUCCGAGCAGGGCUGACUGUACCCGUUGGUGUGGUAACAUUAGUGUGCAAUUCCCAUUCGGCUUCGAAGAGGGUUGCUUUGCUAGGGAAGAGUUUCACCUCAACUGCACAGAUCUGACGUCAUCAGAUGCCCUGGUCAUGUUGGAGGAGAAACAAGUCAUCGACAUGAAUGUUGAUGAAGGGACCUUUAAUAUCACUUUUGCUGACCAACAACGUUGGGACCCCAUAUCAGAACGUCACAGUCUCGUAUAUGAAUAUGGGUUAUUUCUCUCUGUCAAAUGGGUUGCUGCUCAUCUAAGUUGCGCAGAGGCCCAACAGAAUAGAUCUGCAUAUGCUUGUGUGAGUACCAACAGCAAGUGUGUGGAAGUAACUGCUGAAAGAAUCUAUGCUGGUUACUGCUGCAAAUGCUCAGAUGGCUUCCAAGGAAAUCCAUAUAUCCAAAGUGGCUGUCGAGAUAUUAAUGAAUGCCUUCAAGCGAACAGUUGUAAAGGGAUCUGCCAUAAUACCAAUGGAAGCUUCCGUUGUACUGAAUGUCCUCUCGAGACUGAAUAUGAUCCAUUAAAAAUGCAGUGCACUAAGAUAAAACAACAGCCUCUACUCUUAGGUAUGAUUAUUGGGCUGUCCUGUGGUUUGGGCAUUCUUCUUCUGAGCUUCAGUGUAGUGUGUUUCACUCGCAGAUGGAAAAUAAAUGUUCAAAAGCAACUACGGAAGAACUAUUUCCGGAAGAACCAAGGUCUUCUCUUAGAAACGUUGAUAUCAUCUGAUGAAACUGCAAAUGAGAAUACGAAGAUUUUCUCAUUAGAAGAGCUAGAGAAGGCAACAGACAACUUUGAUCCUACACGUAUCAUCGGCCGUGGGGGCCAUGGCAUGGUCUACAAAGGCAUGUUAUCUGAUCAGCGAGUUGUUGCAAUAAAAAUGUCUAAGGUCAUUGAGGAGUGUGAGAUCAGUCAAUUCAUCAAUGAGGUCGCAGUUCUCUCUCAGAUAAAUCAUAGAAAUAUUAUAAAGCUCUUCGGAUGUUGUCUCGAAACUGAGGUUCCGCUGCUGGUGUACGACUAUGUAUCCAAUGGCUCACUGUCUCAAGUUCUUCAUGCUGAUUCAAGUGAUGGUUUUUCUCUGUCUUGGAUUGAUUACGUAAGGAUUGCCCUGGAAACAGCAGGAGCUCUAUCUUAUCUCCACUCUUCAGCUUCAAUAUCAAUCUUCCAUCGUGAUGUAAAGUCCUCGAAUAUACUCUUGGAUGUGAACUACACAGCUAAAGUUUCAGAUUUUGGCGCGUCUAGAUUGGUUCCAACUGAUCAAACACACAUUGUCACGAAUGUACAGGGUACAUUUGGGUACUUAGAUCCAGAGUAUUUCCAUACCAGACAGUUAAAUGAGAAGAGUGAUGUGUACAGUUUCGGUGUGGUACUAGUGGAGUUGCUUCUCAGAAUGAAGCCUGUUUUUACAAGUGAAUCAGGCACGGUCAAGAGCUUGUCAAACUAUUUUCUCCAGGAAUUCAAAGAUGGAAAUAUCACAAGUAUUGUUGACUCUCAGGUUCUUGAGGAGGCAACCAAAGAAGAGAUCAACAGUGUGGCCUCUCUUGCAGAGGUGUGCUUAAGGCUACACGGUGAAGAAAGACCCACAAUGAAACAAGUAGAGACGGAACUGCAGACUUUGCGAACAAAACGGGUGAACCCAAGUCAAGCAGAUCCGAGAAAUGAAGAACGAAUGCUACCAGAGUCACAAACUCAAAGAAGAGUAACAGCUUCUCGCCAAUCGUCCACGACGGAACUGGGCAAGAGAGAAAGCCGACGAUGCUAUAGCUUAGAGUGUGAGUUCAUGGCGUCUGCUAGUCUACCACGCUAG